UUUCUCAUCCAUCUCACACCUGUGCACCUUUGUGGUCUAGACGUUACGGCUGUUGAAAAACAGCUGGAGGUCAGGUCAUGUUUUUAUAUAUAUACUCUUCAGUUCAGAAUGUAAACAACGUGAUAAAACACAUUUAAUACAACUUUCAACAACGGAUCUCUUGGCUCUCGCAUCGAUGAAGAACGCAGCGAAAUGCGAUAAGUAAUGUGAAUUGCAGAAUUCAGUGAAUCAUCGAAUCUUUGAACGCACCUUGCGCUCCUUGGUAUUCCGAGGAGCAUGCCUGUUUGAGUGUCAUGAAUAUCUCAAAAACCCCUUGAGGAAUUGGGGGGCUUUUGGACUUGGAGGCUUGCCGGCGUCUCGUCGGCUCCUCUUUAAAUGCAUUAGCUGGGAUCUUUCGAGAAACAGCCUCGGUGUGAUAAUUGUCUACGCCGUGUGUUCUGUUGAUCGCUUAGUUUGCUACCCUGCCUGAAAAGGUGGUUGUGUGGCUUGGAGAUCUUGCUUCAAAAUCGUUGUUAAAUCAACAAUAUCAAUUUAUUUUGACAUCUGACCUCAAAUCAGGUAGGACUACCCGCUGAACUUAAGCAUAUCAAUAAGCGGAGGAAAAGAAACUAACAAGGAUUCCCCUAGUAACUGCGAGUGAAGCGGGAAAAGCUCAAAUUUAAAAUCUGGUGG
rnacentral:rRNA from 1 species